CCUACGGGAGGCAGCAGUGGGGAAUAUUGGGCAAUGGGCGCAAGCCUGACCCAGCAACGCCGCGUGAAGGAAGAAGGCUCUCGGGUUGUAAACUUCUUUUGUCAGGGAAGAGUAGAAGACGGUACCUGACGAAUAAGCCACGGCUAACUACGUGCCAGCAGCCGCGGUAAUACGUAGGUGGCAAGCGUCGUCCGGAUGUACUGGGUGUAAAGGGCGUGUAGCCGGGUUGACAAGUCAGAUGUGAAAUCCUUCGGCUUAACCGGAGAACUGCAGUUGAUACUGUUGAUCUUGAGUACUGGAGAGGGAGAUGGAAUGCGUGGUGUAGCGGUGAAAUGCGUAGAUAUUAGGAAGAACACCGGUGGCGAAGGCGGUCUACUGGACAGCAACUGACGGUGAGGCGCGAAAGCGUGGGGAGCAAACAGGAUUAGAUACCCCUGUAGUC
rnacentral:rRNA from 1 species